UGGGUUGGUUUUUGUCUUUGGUUAUCUAGCUGUAUGAGUGUAUGUGAUAUCAUAAAGCUAGAGAACCGAAUGUAAAAAC
rnacentral:miRNA from 1 species